GUAGGGCCUGUUCCACGGGUUCUGUGUCGUAGCUAACGCAUUAAGUUCCCCGCCUGGGGAGUACGGCCGCAAGGCUAAAACUCAAAGGAAUUGACGGGGGCCCGCACAAGCGGCGGAGCAUGCGGAUUAAUUCGAUGCAACGCGAAGAACCUUACCAAGGCUUGACAUAGCCGAGAACGCUGUAGAGAUACAGAACUCUUUGGACACUCGGUUACAGGUGGUGCAUGGUUGUCGUCAGCUCGUGUCGUGAGAUGUUCGGUUAAGUCCGGCAACGAGCGCAACCCUCGUCCUAUGUUGCCAGCACGUUAUGGUGGGAACUCAUGGGAUACUGCCGUGGUCAACACGGAGGAAGGUGGGGAUGACGUCAAGUCAUCAUGCCCCUUAUGUCUUGGGCUUCACGCAUGCUACAAUGGCCGAUACAAAGGGCUGCGACACCGCGAGGUGGAGCGAAUCCCAAAAAGUCGGUCUCAGUUCGGAUUGGGGUCUGCAACUCGACCCCAUGAAGUCGGAGUCGCUAGUAAUCGCAGAUCAGCAACGCUGCGGUGAAUACGUUCCCGGGCCUUGUACACACCGCCCGUCAAGUCAUGAAAGUCGGUAACACCCGAAGCCGGUGGCCUAACCCUUGUGGAGGGAGCCGUCGAAGGUGGGACUGGUGAUUAGGACU
rnacentral:rRNA from 1 species